AUAAAAUAGAAAUACAAAUAUAAAAGCAUACAAAUAUCAUUAAAAAGCAUAAAUCACGAAGUUACCGGAAAUUUAUUUAGUUAGUUUUAUGUUAAAAUUUCGAAUAGAGAAGGCACCAUUGACAUUCGAUGAAAACAAACGGGAAAAGCAGUGUGAUUCUUAAAUUGUUAGAAAUGGGAUUACAAACUGGUUUUAAAAACUUCUUGGUUUUCAUUGCGAUAGUCUCUGAAUUACUUCAAGAUUACCAAAUUGAAUGUCGACGCCGGGGGUUCAGAGUCGGAAGUGGGGUGAGAAGUGGAAGGAGAUCAAGUGCCUAUGGGACUAUCUACGUCUCUCAGAUUGAUAAUUGGUGGAUAUACUUUGUCGCUAUUUUUGGUGUAAUUAUCUUAGGGUGCGCCGUCUGGUGCAUUUGCCAAAAAUGCCGUUCUCAUUGAAACCACUUUCCUGUGCCUAAACAAUCGCACUGAUUGAACAGUGGAGGAUUUCGUUUUUGACAAUUUAAGCAGUUCAAAACAUUUAUUUAGUAGCAUUCUAGUUCUAUCUAAAAUGUAAUUAAUCACUACUUUACUUUUCUUAAUGAGUACUUGCUUAGAAAAGUUCCUCAAAGCGUGUGUGCAAUGUAUAAUCUUUAGCUUUGUCAGAAUAAAUAAGAUCUUACUCUG